AGCAGCCGCGGUAAUUCCAGCUCCAAUAGCGUAUAUUAAAGUUGUUGCAGUUAAAAAGCUCGUAGUUGAAUUUCGGGGUCAGCAGGUCGGUCGUGCCAAUGGUAUGCACUGGCCUUGCUGAUUCCUCCCUCUUGAUGAGCCGUAAUGCCAUUAAUUUGGUGUUGCGGGGAAUCAGGACUGUUACUUUGAAAAAAUUAGAGUGUUUAAAGCAGGCAAGCGCUUGAAUACAUUAGCAUGGAAUAAUGAAAUAGGACGUUUGAUCCUAUUUUGUUGGUUUCUAGGAUUGACGUAAUGAUUAAUAGGGAUAGUUGGGGGCAUUAGUAUUCAAUUGUCAGAGGUGAAAUUCUUGGAUUUAUUGAAGACUAACUACUGCGAAAGCAUUUGCCAAGGAUGUUUUCAUUAAUCAAGAACGAAAGUUAGGGGAUCGAAGACGAUCAGAUACCGUCGUAGUCUUAACCAUAAACUAUGCCGACUAGGGAUCGGAUGAUGUUAAUUUUUAAUGACUCAUUC
rnacentral:rRNA from 1 species